rnacentral:RNase_P_RNA from 2 species
AGAGUUGACCAGACAGUCGCUGCUUUACUUUAACGUAAGGAAAGUAGAGGAAAGUCCGGGCUCCAUUGGGUAUGGGUGCCAGGUAACUCCUGGGAGGUGUAAAUCUGCGACAAGUGCAACAGAAAAUAAACCGCCGAUGGACCAUAAAAUGGGAUCAGGUAAAGUUGAAAAGGUGUGGUAAGAGCGCACCGCGCUACUGGUAACAGUUUGCGGCAAUGUAAACUCCACCCGGAGCAAAGCCAAAUAGUGGUUCAUAUAGUACGGCCCGUACUUGAACCAGGGUAGGCUGCUUGAGCUAUUGUGCGAACGAUAGCCUAGAUGAAUGACUGUCCACGACAGAACCCGGCUUAACGGUCAACUCUAAAA